rnacentral:RNase_P_RNA from 1 species
AGUAGUGGGUGAACAGCUUUCGGUUUUUGGAAAGUAAAAUUUCCCAGUUUUUUGAAUAAAAAAACUUGUAACUGAGGAAAGUCCGUCCACUUCUAGUAAAACAAAAUCCGAAAGGGUUUCCCAGAGAACAGAAACGAUAUCAUUUGCAUUUAAUCAAUGAUUGAAAAUGAGAGAAUGCAAAAGGAUUGAAACGCGCUUUGGGUUAAACAUUUUCUGAAAAGAAAAUGGAAGUGCAAGCUCUUUAGAGCGCUUAGGCGAAUGCUGUUUUAAAACAAAAGACGGCUUACGGCUCACUGCU